UACGUAGGUGGCAAGCGUUGUCCGGAAUUAUUGGGCGUAAAGAGCUCGUAGGCGGUUUGUCGCGUCUGCUGUGAAAACCCGAGGCUCAACCUCGGGCCUGCAGUGGGUACGGGCAAACUAGAGUGCGGUAGGGGAGAUUGGAAUUCCUGGUGUAGCGGUGGAAUGCGCAGAUAUCAGGAGGAACACCGAUGGCGAAGGCAGAUCUCUGGGCCGUAACUGACGCUGAGGAGCGAAAGCAUGGGGAGCGAACAGG
rnacentral:rRNA from 1 species